GUUGGUCUGGUUGAGAGUCUGUAUGCUUGAGGACAUGUUUUGUAGGUCUUUCAGGGUACUGUCAUGGUAUUGAAAGGUUGGUCUGGUUGAGAGUCUGUAUGCUUGAGGACAUGUUUGUAGGUCUUUCAGAGUACUGUCAUGGUAUUGAAAGGUUGGUCGGGAUGAGAGUCUGUAUGCUUGAGGACAUGUUUUGUAGGUCUUUCAGGGUACUGUCAUGGUAUUGAAAGGUUGGUCUGGUUGAGAGUCUGUAUGCUUGAGGACAUGUUUUGUAGGUCUUUCAGGGUACUGUCAUGGUAUUGAAAGGUUGGUCUGGUUGAGAGUCUGUAUGCUUGAGGACAUGUUUUGUAGGUCUUUCAGGGUACUGUCAUGGUA